GGUAGUUAAGUCAGAAGUGAAAUCCAAUAGCUCAACUAUUGAACUGCUUUUGAAACUGGCAACCUAGAGUAUGGGAGGGGGAGAUGGAAUUAGUGGUGUAGGGUAAAAUCCGUAGAUAUCACUAGGAAUACCUAAAGCGAAGGCGAUCUCCUGGAACAUUACUGACGCUAAGGCGUGAAAGCGUGGGGAGCAAACAGGAUUAGAUACCCUGGUAGUCCACGCCCUAAACGAUGAACACUAGUCGUCGCCCUGCUUGUCAGGGCGGUGAUGCACUUAACAGAUUAAGUGUUCCGCCUGGGGAGUACGGUCGCAAGAUUAAAACUCAAAGGAAUAGACGGGGACCCGCACAAGUGGUGGAGCAUGUGGUUUAAUUCGAAGAUACGCGAAAAACCUUACCUGGCCUUGACAUUGAUAGAAUCCAGCAGAGAUGCAGGAGUGCCCUUCGGGGAGCUUGAAAACAGGUGCUGCACGGCUGUCGUCAGCUCGUGUCGUGAGAUGUUGGGUUAAGUCCCGCAACGAGCGCAACCCUCGUCCUUAGUUGCCAGCAGGUUAAGCUGGGCACUCUAGGGAGACUGCCUUCGCAAGAAGGAGGAAGGUGAGGACGACGUCAAGUCAUCAUGGCCCUUACGGCCAGGGCUACACACGUGCUACAAUGGGGCGUACAGAGUGUUGCAAUACCGCGAGGUGGAGCCAAUCACUUAAAGCGUCUCUCAGUUCGGAUUGUUCUCUGCAACUCGAGAGCAUGAAGCU
rnacentral:rRNA from 1 species